rnacentral:rRNA from 1 species
AUCACUGGGCUUAAAAGGGCAUGUAGGCUGCGUAAUAAGCGGGGUUUGAAAUCCCGCGGCUCAACCGCGGAACUGGGCUUCGAACUGUUAUGCUAGAGUGAAGCAGGGGCAAGCGGAACUUGCGGUGGAGCGGUGAAAUGCUUUGAUAUCGCAAGGAACACCGGCGGCGAAAGCGGCUUGCUUGGCUUCAACUGACGCUCAAAUGCGAAAGCUAGGGUAACGAACGGGAUUAGAUACCCCGGUAGUCCUAGCCGUAAACGCUGAGCGCUUGUUCGAGGGGGACUUUCCUUCUCGAGCGCAGCGAAAGUCUUAAGCGCUCCGCCUGGGGAGUAUGGUCGCAAGGCUGAAACUCAAAGGAAUUGACGGGGGCUCACACAAGCGGUGGAGGAUGUGGCUUAAUUCGAGGCUACGCGAAGAACCUUAUCCCAGGCUUGACAUGCAUGAAUGCCCUCCCUGAAAGGGGAGCAAGCUGCUAGCAAUAGUGAAACUUGCACAGGUGCUGCAUGGCUGUCGUCAGCUCGUGUCGUGAGACGUCGGGUUAAGUCCCUUAACGAGCGAAACCCCUGUCGUUAGUUGCCAUCAUUUGGUUGGGCACUCUAACGAGACUGCCUAAGUUAAUGCGGAGGAAGGCGGGGACGACGUCAAGUCCUCAUGGCCCUUAUGCUUGGGGCUGCACACGUCCUACAAUGGAUUCCACAAAGGGAAGCGAGGUCGCGAGACGGAGCGAAUCCCAAAAAAGGAUCCUCAGUUCGGAUUGUAGUCUGCAACUCGACUACAUGAAGCCGGAAUCGCUAGUAAUCGCGGGUCAGCAUACCGCGGUGAAUAUGUUCCUGAGCCUUGCACUCACCGCCCGUCAAG